GGCUGUGUUGCCACCCUGUUGGUUGUUUGGCCUGAGGCAGCCCAGCACUGGAGCCUACAGGCUGUUUGGUGGGGCUAAUGGUGGCCUCUGGGAGGGCUCAUGCCAAUGAAUACUUCCCAGAACCGCUGUCAGUGUCUUUGAGCCACAGCUGCCACCCCCCCCACCUCUGCAGGAGACACUCCAAUAAUACCAGGCUUUUGUGUUGGUGUAGUCAAACAUGGCAUGAAGACAACGCUAAACCCGAUACUAUGGAGGACAAUUUUUAAUCAGCUUACAGAGAUUUGGUGUUUAUCAUUCUUCCCUUCCCUCCCCCCACCUAAUGGCAUAUAAGGACUUCAAUGGUUAAAAUAUAGCCUUAAGUUGGCCCCUCAGCCACCAGAGAAUUGGAUUGUAUCUCUUAUAAGCAAGGAAGCUGUCCAUGUGGGAAGCAUCACUCCCAUGGGAUAUUUGUAUGACUGUUCAAAUUUAAACAAUAUAUCUGGGGAAAAGAAAGAAUGUGGGAAAAAUAUAAUAAGAUUUUCUUA